ensembl:snoRNA
AGCGAGGCUAGAGUCACACCUGGACAUGGAUGGGUUGUCCCGGUGUGCUAGAGCUCUCGCAGAGCAAAACAUCUCUGCUUAUUCGUUGACUGAAGUCUCAUGUGACCCAGCCAAUCACCAGCUCAGAUACAUCA